CAGCAACUCUUUGCAGGCAUCAAGAAGCAGUGGUCUGUUGGAUUUCAUAUCUACAUCGAGAUGAACGUUAUGGUGUUGGAGUAAUUCAUUUUUAGUCUGCUUUUCUCGCUGAGGCUCAGGAUGGAAAAAGAAGAAAUAUGCCUUGAAAUAACAUACAAUCUUCUUGGAGAGACUGAGAUGAGGAGGAAUUUAAGGAGAAGAAGAGAGAAACCAUUUUAGAGUGACAGAUGAGCUGGGAGACAGGAUGGAUUGGGCAGCUCAAACUGGCUUUGGGCCAAAAUUGUCCAAGAAUCAAGAUGGAAAGUUUGUCAUUUCCAGCUCAGGCAUCAAAAAAAUCCUAAUCACAAUUUUGGGAUGAUGGUUGGUAGUAGUUUGGAAGGAAGAAUUUAGCUGAACCCAUAAUGGUCUGAUUGUAUCCACAAAAACACUCCCAAGCUGAAGAAGAACUAUCUGCCAGGCUCUGCAAUUCAUGCCAAGAGAGAGGAACUGGGGGGAACAAAAGACUGAAUCCUGUGCCAGUGUUGGAGAACAGUCUUCAUUAAAGUUUCUGCUGUCUUGCACCCAUUUCUAGGAAAGAAAUGUUGAGGUACUGCAUUGGUCAGUUUAGGAUUAGCUACUUAUUAUUCUGUUUUUGGCUUCUUUUGAGUAACUUCUCAUAUACCCUAUCUAUAGUGAACCAGAGCACGGGGGGAGGGGGGCAAAAAUAGGGACUCUAGUUGGUGGCAGGCUACCCAAGAACAGCUUCUUAGCCUCAACAGGGAGACACUACUAGACUCUUGCUCUAGUCUACUUCUACAGACAGACUAACAACAAGGAGGUUAGGAAAGAAAGGAUCUCUUUAAUGGAGUUGGCUAGCCCACCCCAUAAUUAGAUAAGCCAAAAGCGCCUAGAGGCCUAGAAUAAAACAACCUUGGAGAGGGAAAUAAACAAUAGAGUUACACAGUUGUAUUGCCAUGUGUAGUUUGGAAGAGCCAUCUAACUCAUACUAACACAUUCAAUGUACCAAGGCUCAGGUGCAGGGAAUAUCUGAGAACGGCAAGAAUGUCUAACUUCAUAGCAGCUGGCAAUAAUAUAGGCAUAUUGAUGGAGAGCCAAAAGAUACUUUGAUGUAUGAGAAACUUGUAAUCACUAAUUCUACACAGACUCUGUUAAAACAAAAAACAAGAAUGAACUAGCUAUUUUUAUGUGUUUCAAGAUGUUUCAGAUAUGGAUAAUCUUGUUUGGUGUAUGAAAUGAUAAGAUAAUAACCAAGAAUUUGAGUUUCUGAGGCAGCUAUUGUUAAGAAAAGGUUCUGAAACCCUAUAAAUAUGACAAGCUCAUCUGAUAACGAGCUUCUUCAUUGAAGGAGCUCCUUGUCUGUUACCUUCUUACCUUUGGGUAAGAUACCUUUUGGACUCAUGUAAUUGCUGUCCUUAAUGGUCUUUGUUAUAACGGAUGGUAUAAUUUUCUAUUGAUUACGUUGUUAUUAAGUAUACUUAGGCAUGUUGUAAUAAUAAAAGAAUAAAAAGGAAGUAGAGACUCCAUAAUCGUGAAAUUAUUUGAUAUAGGAAGGCUAAUUAGACUUUCUGGGCUUCUUAACUGCGUGCCUAUAUCUGAAUCAGGUCUGACAGGAGUCAUCCAGAACACUAAGCCCUCUUGAUCACUUACCAGGGAGAGUCAAAGGGAGUCCCAAGAAGGUGAAUUCUUGGCAUAUAAUAAUCCAGUCUGAAGGAAUGUAAUAAAAGAUUAUUAGCAGGAGAUACUAGGAAAAGAGAUACACUUUCCAAUUUUAUUCCACCCGUUAAUAUAAUUCCAUGAUACAUUUUUAAAAUAUACUGUUGUCUGGUUAGAGUCCAUGGGAAAAGGUUGGGUAAAAACCAAAAUGAACAAGCAAGCAAAGAACAUGAGAAGAUGGUUGUUCUAGAAUUUUUUUUUAAAAAGUAUAGGUAGUUCCCUGUGUAAGUUCCGAGUCAUUACUGACCCAAGAUGUCACAUCAUGACAUUUUCUUGGCAGACUUUUUACGGGGUGGUUUGCCAUUGCCUUCCCCAGUCAUCUACACUUUACCCCCAGGAAACUGGGUACUCAUUUUACCAACCUUAGAAGGAUGGAAAGCUGAGACAACCUUGAGCCAACUAUCUGAACCUGGCUUCUGCCAGGAUUGAACUCAGGUCAUGAGCAGAGCUUGGACUGCAGUACUGUAGCUUACCACUCUGCGCCACAGGGCUUUUCUAGAAUAUUGCACAGAAUAUUGGUCUAGAAUAUUGAAUAGAAAAUGCCAAAUUAUGGUAUCUGAAAUGUAAAUUUUGUGACAGCAAUUACUGUACUGGCGGAUGUUAAGUCACAAAGUUUAAUUUGCACAAUCAACAGGAAGUAAAUUGAAUAUACAAACCACUCAUAAGAAUCAUCAUCGGGAAAUAAAUUGAAUGUACCAAACUACUCAUUGUAAGAGGAAUCAUUUGCAUAAAUUCAACCUUAAAUACAUAUGCAGAUGAUGAAAUCUUAAGUUGCAGUUGCAGUUGCUAUCCUGCAAGAACGAUGAAUAUCAGGAUGCAUGUUUAUGCUCAAGAUUAUAAAAGCAAAAAAAAGCCACCUAUUCUUAGCUCAGUUUAAUCUCAUCCUAUACAAGGAGACCUGUGCUAAUCAGGGGGGAGCAAAGUACCUUGAGACAAAAUGGAAUUAAAGACACUCUACAGGACUGAUUGUGGGUUUUUUUUCUCUACUGUUUUCCAUCCAGGUUUUAUUUGCUUGACGUUUGCUUGUGGCAGAUUUUACUGAGCAUUUAAUUUCCCAUUGAGAUGCAUCAGAGCCUUUAAUUUUAUUUCCUUUUCUGAUGCAAUAAGCUCUUACCGACAGCAAAGAGAGUACGCGAAUCAUGAGAAUAAUAAACCACACUCGCUCUUGAAAGCUGCACAACCCGUUCAAACAUGCUGGAGGGAGCAGUACAGCCUGCCCUAAGAUGCAUGGCUUUCCAUGGGCAACGGCCCAUUUUAUGAGUCAUGAGACAUAAUGGAGUAUUGUUGAAAGUUUUGGGGCCAUGAGAAAUUAUCUAUGGCUGGACAUGGAGAAUGGUAUAAACUGGCAAGAAACUAAAGUUACAUUCUUCUCCAGCAAUGAAAUCAGCCAGCACUGGCCCAGUUUCCAGUAUAUAAUACUACAAAUCAUGCAGACUUGCUUUUUAAUUAAAGGCAAUUCAUUUUAAAGAGCUGUCACUGUGAUUCUACCAGGUAACUUCAGCAGAGCUGAGGUUGUGUGUUGUUUUGAGUGCAGGUAUGAAAAGAGCAGUGAAUUUUAGGAACUUUGGUGCCUUCCCCUACUCUUUCCUUUGCCUUCACAACGUUGAUUGUGUCUGGGAUCAAAGACUUUUGCCUAUUGGAAUGUAUUUACAGUUGCUUUUCUUCACUCAUCAAAAACAAACUUUGCAAUCCUCAAAGUGAAAAAAGAAAAGGUGGAACUCCAAGAGACAACAUGGGAAAUCAGAUUCCUGGGACAGAACAUGGAAUGAAAGAACCAAUGCAGAUGUUAAAUUCAGCACAAGACUGUUGAAACAGAAUCCAUUAAGUUGGAUACCAUUUACCAAGAGUUUAAAAAGUACUUGGAAUUCCUGAGUCUGUACGGGUGUUAGCUAGACUAGCAAAACUAGGGAAAUGUCCAUUUUCUGCUAUUGUAAAUAGUCUCUGCACUUUUCUUGAUUGUUUGAUUUUUGCAUAAUUGCAUCUCACCUUGUACUUCCUACAUUUCAUGGCUUUUCACACCACUGUUUAUACCUGUUUUUCUUCAUCACUGCAUGUAUCUGAU